GUAAGUCAACAACAUCCUGGGACUGGGACACACUUUCUGGGCACUGCUGGCCAGUCCCAAAAUGGAACAUAAGGAAGUGGUUCUUCUACUUCUUUUAUUUCUGAAAUCAGGUCAAGGAGAGCCUCUGGAUGACUAUGUAAAUGCCCAGGGGGCUUCACUGUUCAGUGUCACUAAGAAGCAGCUGGGGGCAGGAAGCAGAGAAGAAUGUGCAGCAAAAUGUGAGGAGGACAAAGAAUUCACCUGCAGGGCAUUCCAAUAUCACAGUAAAGAGCAACAAUGUGUGAUAAUGGCUGAAAACAAGAAGUCCUCCAUAAUCAUUAGGAUGAGAGAUGUAGUUUUAUUUGAAAAGUAAAGGUGACCAUGGUCCUUGGGCCCUAACGUCUGGAUGAAGCCUUGUAAAACAGAAAUACUGAGGUGUUUUAAUCCUCAGAAACAUUUAGAUUGGGACACAAAUCUUAUUUUUUACUCUUAAAUUUUUCACAUUUUGGGGGACAUGGUCUAUAUUUUUCUCAGAUUUCUGAAAUGUUGUCUUUUAAAAAUGUGUAAAAGUUACAGUCCCUUUUCUAUAGUUUAUUUUAAAAUGUGGGUCAAUAGUCCCACUGCUUAGAAUAAGGGGCACACAGGAUUUCAAUAGAAAUUGCAUGCCUUUUUAGAUGUGCAAAUGUUUCAUUAAGCGUAUGAAUAUUUGAAGAGAUGUAUGACACUUUGAAAACUGUUUCCUCUACUGUGUUGGUGGCCAGGUAUUAAGACCGUUAAUAAUAACAAUUUAGCUCUCCAAAUAUUCUGCAUCACAGGUGUUAAAGAGGACUGGAAACACCUUAGUUCUUGUAUUCUUGAGGAUGAUUUGCCAUAUUGUGUCUAGUAUCACGGCAAAACUCUAAGUAGCAUUUUAAAUAGUAUUUAUUUGGGUUGGAAUUAUUUAUAUGCAUUGACUCAUCUUCCUGGGUUUCAUUAGCUGUACGCAUUGUACUUUCUUCCUUACCACUAUUUAUCUCGAAUUCUUGAGAUUAAAGUACAGAUUAAAUCUAAA
rnacentral:lncRNA from 1 species